rnacentral:rRNA from 1 species
AGUCACUGACAUUAGAUACCCCCUGUAGUCCAGGGUGUAAACGCUGCAGACUUGGUGUUGGAAGUCCUUUGGGGGCAUUCAGUGCCGGAGAGGAGUUGUUAAGUCUGCUACUUGGGGAGUACGUCCGCAAGGAUGAAACUUAAAGGAAUUGGCGGGGGAGCACCGCAACGGGAGGAGCGUGCGGUUUAAUUGGAUUCAACACCGUAAAACUCACCAGGGAAGACUGUUACAUGAAAGCCGAGAUGAAGACUCUGCUAGAUUUUCAG